rnacentral:rRNA from 1 species
AUUGAACGCUGGCGGCAGGCUUAACACAUGCAAGUCGAACGAGUGGCGGACGGGUGAGUAAUGAUUGGGAAUCUGGCUUAUGGAGGGGGAUAACGACGGGAAACUGUCGCUACUACCGCGUACCAUCGGAUGAGCCCAGGUGGGAUUAGGUAGUUGGUGGGGUAAUGGACUACCAAGGCGACGAUCCCUAGCUGGUCUGAGAGGAUGACCAGCCACACCGGGACUGAGAAACGUCCCGGACUCCUACGGGAGGCAGCAGUGGGGAAUAUUGCGCAAUGGGGGCAACCUGACGCAGCCAUGCCGCGGGAAUGAAGAAGGCCUGCGGGUUGUAAAGUUCUUUCGGUGACGAGGCGUUAAUCACAGAAGAAGCACCGGCUAACUCCGUGCCAGUAGCCGCGGUAAUAC